ACAUGAAGAGCUGUUUUAGGAUGAAGUUGGGAAGAAAAGGUGGACUAAUUUCUGAUGUGAUUUUUCGCUGGACUGAGGAAACGGCAGGCUGUACA